GACGAACGCUGGCGGCGUGCCUAACACAUGCAAGUCGUACGGGACCGGGGGCAACUCCGGUUCAGUGGCAGACGGGUGCGUAACACGUGAGGAACUUGUCCGGUGGCGGGGAUAGCCGGCCAACGGCCGGGUAAUACCGCAUACGCGUCGUUCGGGGCAUCCCUGGGCGAGGAAAGCAGCCGCAAGGUUGCGCCGACGGAGGGCCUCGCGACCUAUCAGCUUGUUGGCGGGGUAACGGCCCACCAAGGCGACGACGGGUAGCUGGUCUGAGAGGAUGAUCAGCCACAUUGGGAC
rnacentral:rRNA from 1 species